AAUACAUCCAGGGCACCUGGUUCUGUGGGUGCAGAGGGCUGAGAGCAGAGAAGGGCCUUGGCGGGGGAUGCAGUGUGGGGGGGAUGGCCCAUGGCUGAGGAUAGGAUGAAUGAAGCAAGGAGGGUCAGGGCCAGGAAGGCUGGCCUUGGGCAAUAGUCCAGGAAAGGAGUGAUAAGAGCCUGAUAGGAGCUGAAGGGGAGAGGACAGAAAGCAGUGCUGGGAGAUGGGGGCCGAGGAGGCAGAUGAGACCAGACUCUUCAGCGGAUUGGCUGCAGGGUGGGGCCAAGGCUCCAAAUCCAGUGAUGGAGCCUCACCUGGUGUGGGUCGCUGUGGAUCUGAGCAUAGGAGGCCACAGGGGAUCAUAGCUGGCGUGUCCCAAAUGCCCCUGAGUGAUGACACAAGAAUGUUUACAUCCAGAAAUUCCUUGUCCGGCCCCUCUCCCAGGAAUGCGCUGGGACCUAAAUUCUUCUGUACAGAGGAAAAGUGCAGCCCUUGGAUGGCCUCUGCAGCAUUGUUCCUUGGCAAACACAGGAAGACUUACAGAAGAGUUGCAAAAAUGAUGCAGAGUUCUCAUAUACCCUUCACCCAACUUCUCCUGGAGCCCUAGAGCAUGUGUCACCACCCUAUGACCUUGCUGUUUCCCAAGGCUGGGGGAGCAUGUGGAGGGAGGACUCCAAGUCCCCAGAAGCUUCUGCCCCCAGAGUCUGAGCCCCAAGCUUUCAUCACCUUCUCACACGGUGGGGACCUGCACCACGAGAGGACACGAGCGCGGAAAUUGAGACUAAGCAGUUAGAAACUUCUGAACUAUAGCGUCUACAGAUACUACAGAAUCUAUAGCAAUUUGAUGUUGCUCAGAAACCCAAAGGCAGAUCGGAAAUAAAGAAGCUGAUUUUUCA
rnacentral:lncRNA from 1 species